rnacentral:rRNA from 1 species
UACCGAGGGUGCGAGCGUUAAUCGGAAUUACUGGGCGUAAAGCGUGCGUAGACGGUUAUUUAAGUCGGGUGUGAAAGCCCCGGGCUCAACCUGGGAAUUGCAUUCGAGACUGAAUAGCUAGGGUACGGUAGAGGGAAGCGGAAUUUCCGGUGUAGCGGUGAAAUGCGUAGAUAUCGGAAGGAACAUCAGUGGCGAAAGCGGCUUCCUGGACCAGUACCGACGUUCAGGCACGAAAGCGUGGGGAGCAAACAGG